CCGGUUGAUCCUGCCGGAGGCUACCGCUAUUGGAGUUCGAUUAAGCCAUGCGAGUCGCGAGAAUUAGAUUCUCGGCGUACCGCUCAGUAACACGUGGGUAACCUGCCCUAUGCUGGAUAAUAACCUCGGGAAACUGAGAAUAAUGAUCUAUAGUUCACUACGCCUGGAACGGUGAGUGGAUGAAAGCUCCGGCGGCAUAGGAUGGGCCUGCGGCGUAUCAGGUUGUAGGGGGUGUAACGUACCCUCUAGCCCUCUACGCGUACGGGUGUUGGGAGACAUAGCCCGGAGAUGGAUUCUGAGACACGAAUCCAGACCCUACGGGGUGCAGCAGGCGCGAAAACUUGGCAAUGCGAGAAAUCGUGACCAGGGAACUCCAAGUGCAUGGGGUAAGACCUAUGCUUUUCUAGACUCUAAAAAGGUCUUGGAAUAAGAGGUGGGUAAGGACGGUGCCAGCCGCCGCGGUAAUACCGGCGCCUCAAGUGGUAGUCGCUUUUAUUGGGCCUAAAACGUCCGUAGCCGGUCUGAUACAUUCGUGGGUAAAUCAACCAGCUUAACUGGUUGAAUUCUGCGAGGACGGUCAGACUUGGGACCGGGAGAGGUGUGGGGUACGCUCAGGGUAGGGGUAAAAUCCUGUCAUCCUGAGCGGACCACCUGUUGCGAAGGCGCCACACUAGAACGGAUCCGACGGUCAGGGACGAAGCCUAGGGGCACGAACCGGAUUAGAUACCCGGGUAGUCCUAGGUGUAAACGCUGUGGACUUGAUGUUGGGGGUGCUCCGAGCACUCUCAGUGUCGAAGCGAAGGCGAUAAGUCCACUGCCUGGGAAGUACGGUCGCAAGGCUGAAACUUAAAGGAAUUGGCGGGGGAGCACCGCAACCUGAGGAUUGUGCGGUUUAAUUGGAGUCAACGCCG
rnacentral:rRNA from 1 species